UACAGAGGGUGCGAGCGUUAAUCGGAAUUACUGGGCGUAAAGCGUGCGUAGACGGUCAAGUAAGUCGGGUGUGAAAGCCCCGGGCUCAACCUGGGAAUUGCAUUCGAGACUGCGUGGCUAGGGUGCGGAAGAGGGAAGCGGAAUUUCCGGUGUAGCGGUGAAAUGCGUAGAUAUCGGAAGGAACACCAGUGGCGAAAGCGGCUCACUGGACCAUUACUGACGCUGAGGCACGAAAGCUAGGGGAGCAAACAGG
rnacentral:rRNA from 1 species